rnacentral:rRNA from 1 species
GACGAACGCUGGCGGCGCGCUUAACACAUGCAAGUCGAGCGACGAAAGGCCCUUCGGGACCCUGAAAGCGGCGAACGGGUGAGUAACACGUGGGUAACCAACCUUCGGUUCCGGGAUAGCCCGGGGAAACUCGGAUUAAUACCGGAUGGCCUCUCUAGCCCACGGGCUGGCGAGGAAAGGUAGCUUCGGCCUCCGACCGAGGACGGGCCCGCGGCCGAUUAGCUUGUUGGUGAGGUAACGGCUCACCAAGGCGACGAUCGGCAGCUGGUCUGAGAGGACGAUCAGCCACACUGGGACUGAGACACGGCCCAGACUCCUACGGGAGGCAGCAGUGGGGAAUCUUGCGCAAUGGGGCGAAAGCCUGACGCAGCGACGCCGCGUGCGGGAAGAAGGCCUUAGGGUUGUAAACCGCUUUCAGGAGGGACGAAGACUACUCGGGUGAAUAGCCCAGAGGGUGACGGUACCUCCAGAAGAAG